AUUGAACGCUGGCGGCAUGCCUUACACAUGCAAGUCGAACGGCAGCACGGGAGCAAUCCUGGUGGCGAGUGGCGAACGGGUGAGUAAUAUAUCGGAACGUGCCCAGUCGUGGGGGAUAACGUAGCGAAAGCUACGCUAAUACCGCAUACGAUCUAUGGAUGAAAGCGGGGGAUCGCAAGACCUCGCGCGAUUGGAGCGGCCGAUAUCAGAUUAGGUAGUUGGUGAGGUAAAGGCUCACCAAGCCGACGAUCUGUAGCUGGUCUGAGAGGACGACCAGCCACACUGGGACUGAGACACGGCCCAGACUCCUACGGGAGGCAGCAGUGGGGAAUUUUGGACAAUGGGCGCAAGCCUGAUCCAGCAAUGCCGCGCGCAGGAUGAAGGCCUGGUU
rnacentral:rRNA from 1 species